rnacentral:miRNA from 1 species
UCUGUGAACUAGAAACCUCUGG